ensembl:lncRNA
CCUGCUUCUUGUAGACAUUCAAGAGAGAUUUUCUGCAGAUUUUUGAGGGCAGUUCACGUAUCAUGAUUAUGAAACCUUUUGGUUGUAUCGCCCAGCCUUAGUCCCGUCUUCAAAAGCAGAGGGACACACACACACACACACACACACACACACACACACACAGACAAUCAGAGAGCUGAAAUAGAAACAGAGCGAGCAGGCAUAAUGACUUAAGAUAUGAAGAUUAAGAAGACGGCCGAAGAGUUUCAGUUGGCUAGGAUGACGCUAUUCUGACCGCAGUACCAUUUCUAACAAACCUCAGUCCAGUUUCAGUUCAGUCUGCUCUUCGAGUCCCUCUAGUGGCCAAACCAGACACUGGGUUCUUUUUUUUUUUUUCCCCUCUCUUUCCAUUUCUUCCUGAAGGAUGAAAAAGAGCGCCUCCUACGGGUCAAGUCAGGAACACCGGACAGCGACACUACACUACACGGACAUGUAAACACACACAAGCACACGCUAACAGACAUGUUCAUAAAUACGGGCUCGUUGUUAAGUCUACGGCGAGGACAACGUCUAUUAGGGGUCGCUGUCCGAUUUAGAGGGAUCGGAUGAAUGUUUUAUGGUUGGACGUCUUACUAAAUAACGACCUAUUGAUCUAUGUACAGACUGACUGUGUGCAGGUGCGCGCGUUUUAAUAUCUCUUCUAAUGGAUGUGAAUGUAAAUGAGAGGAUUCAGAGCCAUAAAACGUGAUCCAAUUCUCUUUAAGAUGUAAAUCCUCCCUUCCUUUGUGCUCUAUUCGCCUUUUUAGUUCAGAAAGCUAGGCCGCGUGUUUGGCUGCCGCGGCUCCGUUCUUCUCCUCCGCCUCGGCGCUUGCGGCCUUGUCCUUCUUUUUGCCGCCUUUCUCCUUCUUCUUCUCGGCCUUCUCCUUCUCGGCCUUCUCCUUCUCCUUCUCGGCCCUCUCCUUCUCCUUCCUCGCCUUCUCCUUCUCCGCCUUAUCGCGUUCCUUCUUCUCUCGCGCCUUCAGCUUCUCCUCCUCCUUCUCCUUCUUCUUCUCCUCCUUGCUCUUCUUCUUCUUCUUCUUGCCCUCGUCCUCGCAGAGAGGCAGAGGCACGUUGUUGGCCGUGGGAGACGGGAUCGUGGGCGUGACUUGUUCCGAGACUACUCUGGGGGGCUGGAGUUGGUUCGGGAUCGACGGACGAGCGGGUUCCUCACUGGAUUUCGACACUGAUGCUGGUUCUGAUGUGGGUUUUGUUGCAGAUUCCGGUGCAGGUUCCGGUUCAGAUUUUGGCGCCGGGGUCGGUUCAGACUUCGGCGAUGGCGUCGGUUCCGGUUCAGAUUUCGGCGCCGAUGGGGGUUCUGGUCCAGAUUUCGGCGCCGACGUCGGUUCCGGUUCAGAUUUCGGCGCCGAUGUGGCGUCCGGUGUUAAUUCUGGCCCAGAAUUUGACACUGGAGAUUUUGGUGCCGUUGGGGGUUUCGCCACUAAAGGACUAGGCUUCCCCCGGAACUGAUGGCGGCGGCGCG